GAGAAUGAUGAUAUGGUUUUGUCGCCCCAGACUUAGGAUCCGGCCUCCGGAUCUGUGUUGAUUGACAUGUUAUCGAUUCUGACUC